UGGGGAAUUUUGGACAAUGGGCGAAAGCCUGAUCCAGCAAUGCCGCGUGUGUGAAGAAGGCCUUCGGGUUGUAAAGCACUUUUGUCCGGAAAGAAAUCCUUGGCUCUAAUACAGUCGGGGGAUGACGGUACCGGAAGAAUAAGCACCGGCUAACUACGUGCCAGCAGCCGCGGUAAUACGUAGGGUGCAAGCGUUAAUCGGAAUUACUGGGCGUAAAGCGUGCGCAGGCGGUUUGCUAAGACCGAUGUGAAAUCCCCGGGCUCAACCUGGGAACUGCAUUGGUGACUGGCAGGCUAGAGUAUGGCAGAGGGGGGUAGAAUUCCACGUGUAGCAGUGAAAUGCGUAGAGAUGUGGAGGAAUACCGAUGGCGAAGGCAGCCCCCUGGGCCAAUACUGACGCUCAUGCACGAAAGCGUGGGGAGCAAACAGGAUUAGAUACCCUGGUAGUCCACGCCCUAAACGAUGUCAACUAGUUGUUGGGGAUUCAUUCCUCAGUAACGUAGCUAACGCGUGAAGUUGACCGCCUGGGGAGUACGGUCGCAAGAUUAAAACUCAAAGGAAUUGACGGGGUCAUAGCUGUUU
rnacentral:rRNA from 1 species